AUUGAACGCUGGCGGCAUGCCUUACACAUGCAAGUCGAACGGCAGCACGGGAGCAAUCCUGGUGGCGAGUGGCGAACGGGUGAGUAAUACAUCGGAACGUGCCCAAUCGUGGGGGAUAACGCAGCGAAAGCUGUGCUAAUACCGCAUACGAUCUACGGAUGAAAGCAGGGGAUCGCGAGACCUUGCGCGAAUGGAGCGGCCGAUGGCAGAUUAGGUAGUUGGUGAGGUAAAGGCUCACCAAGCCGUCGAUCUGUAGCUGGUCUGAGAGGACGACCAGCCACACUGGGACUGAGACACGGCCCAGACUCCUACGGGAGGCAGCAGUGGGGAAUUUUGGACAAUGGGCGAAAGCCUGAUCCAGCCAUGCCGCGUGCAGGAUGAAGGCCUUCGGAUUGUAAACUGCUUUUGUACGGAACGAAACGGCCUUUUCUAGUAAAGAGGGCUAAUGACGGUACCGUAAGAAUAAGCACCGGCUAACUACGUGCCAGCAGCCGCGGUAAUACGUAGGGUGCAAGCGUUAAUCGGAAUUACUGGGCGUAAAGCGUGCGCAGGCGGUUAUGUAAGACAGUUGUGAAAUCCCCGGGCUCAACCUGGGAACUGCAUCUGUGACUGCAUAGCUAGAGUACGGUAGAGGGGGAUGGAAUUCCGCGUGUAGCAGUGAAAUGCGUAGAUAUGCGGGAGGAACACCGAUGGCGAAAGCAAUCCCCUGGACCUGUACUGACGUGAUGCACGAAAACGUGUGGAGCAAACACGAUUGGAUACCCAGGUAGUCCAAGGGGAAUUCUACAUGGAAAUCAAGUGUUUCGAGCCGCCGCCCGGGGAGGGUGUUAUAAAAAAAAAGUUCUGUCCCCUAGGGGGGAUAUUAUA
rnacentral:rRNA from 1 species